rnacentral:tRNA from 1 species
GCCUGGGUGGCUCAGUGGGUCGAGCCUCCGACUUCGGCUCAGGUCACGAUCUCACGGUUCGUGGGUUCGAGCCCCGCGUCGGGCU